GACGUAGGGUGCGAGCGUUGUCCGGAUUUAUUGGGCGUAAAGAGCUCGUAGGCGGCUCGUCGCGUCGACCGUGAAAACCCGCGGCUUAACUGCGGGCUUGCGGUUGAUACGGGCGGGCUAGAGUUCGGUAGGGGAGACUGGAAUUCCUGGUGUAGCGGUGAAAUGCGCAGAUAUCAGGAGGAACACCGGUGGCGAAGGCGGGUCUCUGGGCCGAAAUUGACGCUGAGGAGCGAAAGCGUGGGGAGCGAACAGG
rnacentral:rRNA from 1 species